AGUCUGAAGUUCUCAGGGGGGUGGUAAAGGAGUCCACGUUUCCUCUCAGCCUUUCCACAAUUUCUGAAACACGUCUUCUUGGUAAGAGAUGGCCUCCUCUGCCCAGCGCUGAGACUUAUGGGGUGAUGGUGCUGCACUUUGAUUGGCAGAGGGCAUUGGGAGGAGUUCUUAGAGGGGUCACACGACCCUCUUCUGGGUGGUCACACCAUCCCAGAACCUGCCCUAUUUUGGUCAAGUCUCCUUUCGGGGCAGUCCUCUGCAGCCGAAAUCCAUCGCGACUGGUAGAGGGCGGUGGGAGGAGUUCUUAGAGGGGUUGUACGAACCACUUCUGGAUGGUCACCCUGUCCCAGAAUUCCCCCCACUUGGUCUAAUCUCCUCAGGGUGGUCUCUAGUGGCUGAAGCCCCUCCUGAUUGGUAGAGGGCAGUAGGAGGAGUUCUUAGAGGGGUCACACACCCCAGAACUCCUCUUGAUUGGUUCAAUCUUCUCUCAGGGCGUUCCUAUCAGGGCAAAACCUAUCCUGAUUGGUAUAGUGGAAGGAGUUCUUAGAGGGGUCACGUGACACACCUUGCUUCUGGUCAUGUGUCCGCCUUGAUCCCGCAAGUCAUACCCCCAUGGGGUGGGGCUUCUGAUGACCAGUGGGCAGGGCUUAUUGGGUCAAGGGAUGGGGUUAACUUUUGAUUGACAGUAGGGCCUUUACACUCCUCGCUCCUGCUACCCAAAAUCGGAUCAAGACAGAGGCAACUAUAAUACUGGGCAGUAGUCGCUGUUGUCCUACUGCUCAGAUGCUGUGCUGGCUGUGUAUCACACAGACAAGGUCAUAUGUAAAUAACCCAGCUGCAGAUUUUGUAUAUACUAUGUACACAUUUCCUAUUAAACUGUUUGAAGUAUCUGUUUCAAUUCA